rnacentral:tRNA from 1 species
CAGAUAAUAGUUUAAAAAAAAUAUUAAUUUUGGAGAUUAAAGAUGAAAGAUUUUCUUAUCUGA